AUGUUCGGCCUUUUGGCAGGUGUAAUUUGUCGGGUACUCGGCAAAAGGUCCUUUGACGAGUGUCAUAUAAAAAACACUCAGCAAAAGAACAAAACUCAACAAAGUAAACCCUUUGCCAACUGUAAUGGGAAAAAUACUCAGCAAAAUAACAAAACUCUGCGAAGCAAAACCUUUGCUGAGUGUCAUGGAAAAAACACUCGGCAACGUCGUGCCACCGACGGUUUUGUGGACGACGGACCGACAGUGGACCCUUCAUCAAGUGUCCGACAUCCAACACUAGGCAAAUGUGUUUUUCUUUUUCUUUCUCACGUUGCCUAUUUUUCUUUCUUUCUUCUAUGUAUUUUCUUUAUUUCUUUUCUUUUCUUUGUGUUGCUUUCUUUUUCUAUUUCUGUUUCUUUGCUUUGA
rnacentral:rRNA from 1 species